UGGGGAAUAUUGCACAAUGGGGGAAACCCUGAUGCAGCGACGCCGCGUGAGUGAAGAAGUAUCUCGGUAUGUAAAGCUCUAUCAGCAGGGAAGAAAAUGACGGUACCUGACUAAGAAGCCCCGGCUAACUACGUGCCAGCAGCCGCGGUAAUACGUAGGGGGCAAGCGUUAUCCGGAAUUACUGGGUGUAAAGGGUGCGUAGGUGGUAUGGCAAGUCAGAAGUGAAAACCCAGGGCUUAACUCUGGGACUGCUUUUGAAACUGUCAGACUGGAGUGCAGGAGAGGUAAGCGGAAUUCCUAGUGUAGCGGUGAAAUGCGUAGAUAUUAGGAGGAACAUCAGUGGCGAAGGCGGCUUACUGGACUGAAACUGACACUGAGGCACGAAAGCGUGGGGAGCAAA
rnacentral:rRNA from 1 species